rnacentral:lncRNA from 1 species
GGGCCAGGGCCCAGGCUGGCUUUCCUGGGGACAGCCGGCCAUUCUGUUGUGGAGUGCGGCAGCCAUGGACCAGGUGGUCUACAAGCCACGGACCCUCAGACGGAGAAUCAGCCCAACUCCUGCCCCAGAGGGAUGGGUGCUUAGGACCAAGUGGGCGCUCGGAAGAGGAAGCUGAAUAAAUGAAUGGCUGCUGGAAUUGCUCCUGGAAAAGAAGUGACUCUUAUCGCAUGCCUUCUACAGAGAGCUGCGUGCUGGAACAGGCACAAUCUCACUGAUGCUCUCAUUUCAUCUCCACAACCCCAACAAGAGGGUGGAUGUAACAAACAGCCAUAGAAGAGUGUGUCGGUGUCAUUGGUGAAACUGAGAAUGCUAUUCACUAAGCCGCACAACUUUCCUUAUCUCAAGAUUCGCAUGCUUGUUCCUCCUACAGCCGAACGCCAGGAGAGAACGUGUGUCUCCAGACCAGCGCGCGUGCUGUCUUGGGGCAGCUCCACACCCCCGUGGAUGUCAGGAAUUUGGAAAUGAAAUGAACUAUGAUGUUCACUGGCAUGAGCCCAGGCUCUGGGUAAAAUGAGCCUUCCCCUUUUCCUGUUGGUUGCUUUCUUGUUAAAAACAAGAGGUUUCUUAACAUUUUUUUUUUCAAAUUGUUUUAUAGGUUAAUUCUGAUUUUGAAAUAAGUGCAUCUUGAUUGUAAACAAAAAA